rnacentral:rRNA from 1 species
UUAGAGUUUGAUCCUGGCUCAGGCUGAACGCUUGCGGCGUGCUUAACACAUGCAAGUCGAGCGAAGCGGCGGAGUUCUUCGGAAUAAAGUUGACCGAGCGGAAGUUUGGUGAGUAACGCGUGGGUAACCUGCCUCAUACAGGGGGAUAACAGCUGGAAACGGCUGCUAAUACCGCAUAAGCGCACGGUACCGCAUGGUACAGUGUGAAAAACUCCGGUGGUAUGAGAUGGACCCGCGUCUGAUUAGCUAGUUGGUGGGGUAACGGCCUACCAAGGCGACGAUCAGUAGCCGACCUGAGAGGGUGACCGGCCACAUUGGGACUGAGACACGGCCCAAACUCCUACGGGAGGCAGCAGUGGGGAAUAUUGCACAAUGGGCGAAAGCCUGAUGCAGCGACGCCGCGUGAAGGAAGAAGUAUCUCGGUAUGUAAACUUCUAUCAGCAGGGAAGAAAAUGACGGUACCUGACUAAGAAGCCCCGGCUAACUACGUGCCAGCAGCCGCGGUAAUACGUAGGGGGCAAGCGUUAUCCGGAUUUACUGGGUGUAAAGGGAGCGUAGACGGACAUGCAAGUCUGAUGUGAAAACCCGGGGCUCAACCCCGGGACUGCAUUGGAAACUGCGUAUCUAGAGUGCCGGAGGGGUAAGUGGAAUUCCUAGUGUAGCGGUGAAAUGCGUAGAUAUUAGGAGGAACACCACUGUCGAAGGCGGCUUACUGGACGGUAACUGACGUUGAGGCUCGAAAGCUUGGAGAGCAACAAGGACUAGAUACACUGGUAGUACACGCCGUACACGAUGAAUACUAGGUGUCGGCUUGCAAAGCAAUCCGGAGCCGCAGCAAACGCAAUAAGUAUUCCACAUGCGGAGUACGUUCGCAAGAAUGACACUCUAAGGAAUUGACGGGGACCCGCACAAUCGGUGGAGCAUGUGUUUUAAUUAGAAGCAACGCGAAGAACCUUACCAAGUAUUGACAUAGAUCUGACCGCCCUUUUACAGGGGCUUUCCCUUCGGGGACAGAGAAGACAGCUGGUGCAUGAAUGUCGUCAGCUCGCGUCGUGAGAUGAUGGGGUAAGUCCCGCAAUGAGCGCAACCCUUAUCACUAUUAGCCAGCAGUGAGAUGGGCACUCUAGGGAGACCGCCAGGGAUAACAUGGAGGAAGGUGGGGAUGACGUCAUAUCAUCACGCCCGUUAUGAUCUGGGUUACACACGUGGUACAAUGGCGUAAACAAAGGGAAGCAGAUCCCGCGAGGGUGAACAAAUCUCAAAGAUAACGUCUCACCACGGAUUAUAGUCAGCUACUCGACGACAUGAAGCUGGAAUCGAUAGUAAUCGCAGGUCAGCAUAAUGCGGAGAAUACGUUCACCGGGUCCUUGUACACGCCGCCCGUCA